rnacentral:rRNA from 1 species
UGCUAAUGGGGGUGUGGAUGUAAGCCUCUUGGAAAAGAGAAUCAUUGAGGGUGAGAAUCCUGUUUGUCAUCUGCGGUCCUCCAUGCACAGCAUGCUUUCUAAGAGUCACGUUCCUCGGGAUUGGAGCGCAAACUGGGUGGUAAAUUUCAUCUCAAGCUAAAUAUGGGUUUGAGACCGAUAGCAAACAAGUACCAUGAGGGAAAGAUGAAAAGGACUUUGAAAAGAGAGUUAAAAGUGCCUGAACUUGCUGAAAGGAAAGCGGAUGGAACCAGUCCUGCUUGGUGAGAUUGUUGUGCGCCAAAGCGAUUGCUCGCAACAUCAGCGCAAGCGGUGCUGUGAGUCUUGAGCUGGCCGUGCGCGAUGCUUCUUGUCUUGUGCGUCAUCAACGUUUUGCAGGUGAGGACAACUCUUGAUACAUGGUAGCUUGCCUCUGGGCGAGUGAAUAUGUCUUGUANAACUCACCUGCANAAUGUAUCUCAAUGUGAGGUUGCGUUGCUGUGUGUCU